rnacentral:lncRNA from 1 species
ACUUCCCAAGACCAGAGCUGAAAUGUCCAAGUUUGCUUCAAUUACACUAUUUUCCCUUUCACCCACCCUGAGAUCAUAAUCAUAUGCUCAUGAAUCACACCAGAUACUUGAUGUAUGUGUGAGUGGAAGGGGGUCAACAUGUGAGAAAUACUUAUGGAUUGUUAUUUCCUACUGUUGAUAAGAAUCGAAACUCUAUUUGCUAAUUACACAGUGUACUAUUACUAUUAAAAACACGAAGACCUGUAAGAUAAAGGUCUGAGGGGUUUGUCAAUCUGUUUUACACACACACACACACACACACACACACACACACACACACACACAUCACUGCGUAUACUUCCUCCUAUGCACAUAUCCAUAGUAGUUUAAUCAUUCCCUUCAUAGUAUGAUUGAGCAGAGGCAUGGCUGAACUCCCAAGGGUACUUGAAAAUUAUAUCUCUGAGAGAACAAAUAAGAGGUGAACAUGUAUACAUAUUCCAUACAAAACCCUAUUUAAAAUUUUUUCUACUCUUCUCAUUCAUGAGAUAGGAGAAAAGCAAACACAAAAGGGAAGUCAGGAAGACAAGAAGGAAGGAAACAGAAGUUAAACAGGAGUUAAAUCAUGACAGUCAUUCUGCAACACAGUCCCCUUUUGCAGAGGAUAAUAAGCGGCUUUGGUUAACGGAAGGCUUGUGCUAGAGAGGAAAUCACCUUGAAUUAGAAGGGAGUGCUCCUUUCUAACUUCAGUCUCGUUCAUAUUUACUUGUAUGGCCUUUGCUAGACAUUUCAAAUUUCUGAUACUUAUCUAUAAAAUGAGGAAACUUCUCCUCUGUGUGAAAAUGAGACAGAUCAGAUUACCUCCCAGGUAGAUUUUGAAACUCCAUGACUCCAUGCAUAUUUGCAAUUGCUGAAAAUAGACAGAAAUUCCUUCUGGAGAGGGGUACCCCUCUAUUUUCAAUGUAUACAUUUAGGGAUGAUUCACUAAUUCACGAAUUCAGGUUGAAUUAUGGUAGAGCCUUUCACCUGGUCCUAACACUCUGAAAAGUUGUACUUUUUAGAAGGGGUCAUGACUGGGCAAUUAGUCAUGUUUUCCUU